rnacentral:pre_miRNA from 12 species
CGUGGAUGCCAGCGCAGCUGAUCUGUGGUUUAGGUAGUUUCAUGUUGUUGGGAUGGGCUUUAGGCUCGGCAACAAGAAACUGCCUUAAUUACGUCAGUUCGUCUUCAUCAAGGGCAGC